GCCCCCCCUGCCCCGCCGAUGCAACCCUGCCCUCCCCCCGCGCCCAGCCCGCAUCUCUGCCGCCCCCGGGGCGCGUCCCCGCUCACCCCCCCGGCCCCGAGGCGCAUCCCUGCCCGUGUGUGUCCCCCCGCCGCAUCCCUUCCCUCCCCCGGGCGGGAUCCCCCGCCCCCUCCCCAGCAGGAUCCCGCCGGAUCCCCUGCCCCCAGGCUGGAUCCCUGCCGCUUCUCCCAUCCUCGGGCGGGAUCCCUGGCGGUGCCCCCCCGGCGGGGUGCCCCCGCUGGCCCGCCCAGGGCCGCAUCCUGCCCGCAGCGUCCCGCGGCCAGCCCCGCUCCGGGCUCUCGCUCCUCGCCGUGGGGAAAACUUACCCUAACAUAAAGCCUAGAAACUAAACUCUGUUCGGAUAUGGAUCAGGGGUGAGAUGGGCUCUUUUCCUGGCUCUGCUUUUUCUUGGAAGUAGCUGGAUGAGCAGAGAGAGACAGCGUGGACGAGUAACGCGUGGGGCUGAACUUCAGGGAGGUUACAAGUUUUUCACUUUUUUCAAGUAUUAAAAUUAAAAUAAAAUUGCAUAUAGAAAAAAAAAAAAAGACGAGAAGGAAAGAAAAAAAAAAAAAAAAAAA